AUUAUUUUGGCAGAUUAGUGCAUUAAAUUUAGAAUUUAAAUAAGUAAGUUUUUACAAAUAAUA
rnacentral:tRNA from 2 species